GUUCGCGGUCGGCGAGCGCUGGGCACUGGCUCACGCCCCGGAGGCAGCCCCGUUCCAAAACGAAAGCAAUCACGUUUCACCCGGUUCAAACUCUUCGGGCCAGAUAAGCGAACCCCCUCCGUGAUUGCAGUCUCAGACUAAUUUGCCUAUGUAGCGGACGAGACAUUAGCCGAAUAAUUUAGUUUUAAUCGUCAUGCUACCGGACUAAGACUCCACCAGGUAAAUGCCACCCUGGCCCAAUCAGGGGCUCUUUCAAAACCGUUAAAAAAACAUGAUCAUUGUUAUUGGACAAAAUCAGAUAGUCCCGCCUCCAUUUAAAACUCCUUAUGCCGUUUUGUGCCUUCUGACCAACGUGAACGUGUGUUGGUCACGUGGUCGUGGGGUGGGGUCAACAGGUAGGUGAGUUGCAUGAGUUUUUCCGUUGAUAAAGUGCAACAUUGCUCUUGCUGGCUGUAACUACUGCCGUGCGCUCUCAAGACAACAUGGAUUUCGAUUUGGCUUCAGCUGUAGGUAAAGAUGAUCAGGUGAAAAAGGAUGAUGCCUCUGGCCAGGAACAGAACGCCCUAUUUGGAUGGGGGAAGAAGAAGGACAAAGAUGGGGAUAAGUGUGUGUCCAAGGACAAAUCAAAGGACCAUGACAAAUCGAAGGACUGUAAGCACCAUGACAAAUCAAAGGACCAUAAGGAGGACAAAGACAAGUCUAAGGAACAUAAAGACAAGAAACAUGGUGACAAGAAGGACAAAGAUGGGGAUAAGUGUGUGUCCAAGGACAAAUCAAAGGACCAUGACAAAUCGAAGGACUGUAAGCACCAUGACAAAUCAAAGGACCAUAAGGAGGACAAAGACAAGUCUAAGGAACAUAAAGACAAGAAACAUGGUGACAAGAAGGACAAAGGUCAUAAGAAGAAGAAAGACAAGAAGCCAAAGGAGCAUAAGGACAAAGAUGAUGGGUCAUCAUCUUCCUCGUCCAGCAGCGAUGAGGAUGAAGGCAAGAAGAAGCAUCACUGAUUCUGGUGCUGUGAGGAAGUGCUACUGCCGGUGAACUCUUACAAUGUUUUGUACUGCAAUGUUGCAUGCAUGAUAUUUACUGUGUACUGUUUCCUUGUUGCUCCUGAUCAUGUUUUGAUGUGCCAGACUGUAAAGUAGUGGUUUUACAACCGAAUAUUAAAUAACCCAACAACCAGGAUAUAUGGUGAAUGUCAGACUUCUUUCCUCCCUAGUAAAAAGUCUAAUGUCCACCAGAAGGGGGAGGUGUUCUUCAUUGAAUGUUUAUUUAAUAGAUUGAAUUCAAUUGCUUUCAAGUUUUUUUUGUUAAAUUGUCCAGUUCAAAAGAUUGAAUUGCAUUCUGUUUUGUUUAUUUUAGCACAACUUAUGGGAAAGCUCAAUGUUCUUAGUUUGAAAUAAAAAGCAUAAGGGUGCAUAUACCCAAAGGUUUUCUCAACAGGGGAUAGAUAGUGUUGGGAGUGGGACGUAGGUACCGUGCAUGUUACUUCAGUACGUUCGUAUUGUACUCCAUCUAUGCAGAGUUUAGAUGGCAGUCCAUUCCUUGUCUAACCUGAGUUGACUUAGUGAGCAGGUGCACUGGCCUUGAGUAAAUUCAUUCUACAAAAACUAACUAGGAAAAGCAAAGCUGUACAUGACUGGGGUACACAAAAUGCGUGACAUGGAAAUGGGAAAUGGGAAAUGUUUCCGUAACACUGGCAUCAAUAUUGAAGUGGACCUGAACUCUAACAUGGGUUGUCAGGAAAGAGGAAUUAAAACAUUUAACAUACGGAAAAGGUUCAAAUACUUAAUCUUUUAUACCGGGCGGAAAAAGAAAAUGGAGCGAUUGCAAAAUGUAUCAAUAAAUAAAUAGUGUGUGGAUGCUGCUAUUGCAACUCCUAUCACACUAGGCUGUAUCACUGUUGGGAUGCAUAGGAGGGGAAAUGAACAGAUAUACAGCCUGUCUUUCUAGUGAACUUGUCAGCAGAACUAGACGGUCACUUUUCAUUUAUGUUUUCAUGGUUUAUGAAAUGAAAAACAAAUGGUAUGCUCAUAUGGUGUAUUGGCUACUAAACUCAGCAAAAAAAGAAACGUCAACUGCGUUUAUUUUCAGCAAACUUAACAUGUGUAAAUAUUGGUAUGAACAUAAGAUUCAACAACUGAGACAUAAACUGAACAAGUUCCACAGACAUGUGACUAACAGAAAUUGAAUAAUGUGUCCCUGAACAAAAGGGGGGGUCAAAAUCUAAAGUAACAGUCAGUAUCUCGUGUGGGCACCAGAUGCAUUAAGUACUGCAGUGCAUAUCCUCCUCAUGGACUGCACCAGAUUUGCCAGUUAUUGCUGUGAGAUGUUACCCCACUCUUCCACCAAGGCACCUGCAAGUUCAGACAUUUCUGGGGGGAAUGGCCCUAGCCCUCACCCUCCGAUCCAACAGGUCCCAGACGUGGUCAAUGGGAUUGAGAUCCGG
rnacentral:lncRNA from 1 species